rnacentral:misc_RNA from 1 species
AAAUAACAUCAUCUUUGUUGACUUCUCCUCGUUUUACAACUCAAAACCAGCCAGCCCCCACCCCAUAAAGAAGGAUACCAUUUUGUAGUAUCAUGUUCACACAAAUCAGUUACUUUUUCGAAAAAUGAAUCGAAUUCCCAUCUGUGUGCUUCCUAUUUUGAUCAUUCUUAUCUUUCCAGUGUCAAAUUCGGAAGAAGAAAAUGUGAGGAGGUCGCUGGUGCAGUUCAUGGAGAAACUUUCUGGAGGAAAUAUGCAGCAUGACCCGAAAUGGGGUUGGAGCAAUACUUCUGAUCCUUGCAAUGACACAUGGGCGGGUGUGACCUGUGACUCGAAAUCACAUACCGUAAAGAAAAUAAUUCUUGAUGAAUUCAAUCUCACUGGAACUCUUGACGCCAUUUCUUUGUGCUCGGCCCAGUCUCUUACUGUUUUGAGCCUGAAUCGGAAUAACAUUUCUGGCUUGAUGCCUAAAGAGAUAGGAAACUGCAAACACCUCACUCACUUGUAUCUAAGUGGGAACAAGUUAUCUGGCGACAUUCCCGACUCUCUUUCGCAGCUGAGUAACUUGAAAAGGCUUGACAUAUCCACCAAUAGCUUCUCUGGUCAGGUUUCAGGCCUGUCUCGGAUUUCAGGCCUGUUGUCAUUCCUUGCAGAAAACAAUCA